UACGUAGGGUGCAAGCGUUAAUCGGAAUUACUGGGCGUAAAGCGUGCGCAGGCGGUUUUGUAAGUCAGAUGUGAAAUCCCCGGGCUUAACCUGGGAACUGCGUUUGAAACUACAAGGCUAGAGUGUGACAGAGGGGGGUGGAAUUCCACGUGUAGCAGGGAAAUGCGUAGAGAUGCGGAGGAACACCGAUGGCGAAGGCAGCCCCCUGGGCCGACAUGGACGCUCAGGCACGAAAGCGUGGGGAGCAAACAGG
rnacentral:rRNA from 1 species